rnacentral:rRNA from 1 species
AGCGAACGCUGGCGGCAGGCCUAACACAUGCAAGUCGAGCGCCCAGCAAUGGGAGCGGCAGACGGGAGAGUAACACGUGGGAACGUACCCUUCAGUUCGGAACAACCCAGGGAAACUUGGGCUAAUACCGAAUACGUCCGUAAGGAGAAAGAUUUAUCGCUGAAGGAACGGCCCGCGUCUGAUUAGCUAGUUGGUGAGGUAACGGCUCACCAAGGCGACGAUCAGUAGCUGGUCUGAGAGGAUGAUCAGCCUCACUGGGACUGAGACACGGCCCAGACUCCUACGGGAGGCAGCAGUGGGGAAUAUUGGACAAUGGGCGCAAGCCUGAUCCAGCCAUGCCGCGUGGAUGAUGAAGGCCCUAGGGUUGUAAAGUCCUUUCGACGGGGAAGAUAAUGACGGUACCCGUAGAAGAAGCCCCGGCUAACUUCGUGCCAGCCGCCGCAGUAACAC